rnacentral:misc_RNA from 1 species
GAUGAAGAACGUAGCGAAAUGCGAUACGUAAUGUGAAUUGCAGAAUUCAGUGAAUCAUCGAAUCUUUGAACGCACAUUGCGCCCUUUGGUAUUCCGAAGGGCAUGCCUGUUCGAGCGUCAUUAUCACCCCUCAAGCCCUCGGCUUGGUGUUGGACGGUUUGGUGGAGGCCCCCUCGGGGGCUCCUGCCCCUCCCAAAGACAAUGACGGCGGCCUCGUUGGACCCCCGGUACACUGAGUUCUUCACGGGACACGUAUCGGACACAUGGGUUUACGGGACACGGUCUGCAUCCCCUCAGGGAGAAUCUUUCUAAGGUUGACCUCGGAUCAGGUAGGGAUACCCGCUGAACUUAAGCAUAUCAAUAAGCGGAGGA